rnacentral:rRNA from 1 species
GGAAUUUUCCGCAAUGGGCGAAAGCCUGACGGAGCAACGCCGCGUGAGGGAUGAAGGCCUCUGGGCUGUAAACCUCUUUUCUCAAGGAAGAAGAACUGACGGUACUUGAGGAAUAAGCCACGGCUAAUUCCGUGCCAGCAGCCGCGGUAAUACGGGAGUGGCAAGCGUUAUCCGGAAUUAUUGGGCGUAAAGCGUCCGCAGGCGGCCUCGUAAGUCUGUCGUUAAAGCGUGGAGCUUAACUCCAUUUCAGCGAUGGAAACUGUGAGGCUUGAGUGUGGUAGGGGCAGAGGGAAUUCCCGGUGUAGCGGUGAAAUGCGUAGAUAUCGGGAAGAACACCAGUGGCGAAGGCGCUCUGCUGGGCCAUAACUGACGCUCAUGGACGAAAGCCAGGGGAGCGAAAGGGAUUAGAUACCCCUGUAGUCCUGGCCGUAAACGAUGAACACUAGGUGUCGGGGGAAUCGACCCCCUCGGUGUCGUAGCCAACGCGUUAAGUGUUCCGCCUGGGGAGUACGCACGCAAGUGUGAAACUCAAAUGAAUUGACGGA